rnacentral:rRNA from 1 species
CAAUAGCGUAUCUUAAAGUUGUUGCAGUUAAAAAGCUCGUAGUUGGAUUUCUGGUGGGAGCGAUCGGUCUGGCGCUUAGCGCGAGUACUUGCAUCGUCUCCGGCCAUCCUUGGGGAGAGUCUGUCUGGCAUUAGGUUGUCGGGCAGAGGAUCCUCAUCGUUUACUGUGAAAAAAUUAGAGUGUUCAAAGCAGGCUUAUGCCGUUGAAUAUGUUAGCAUGGAAUAAUAAGAUAGGACUUUGGUACUAUUUUGUUGGUUUGCGCACCAAAGUAAUGAUUAAUAGGGACAGUUGGGGGUAUUCGUAUUCCGUUGUCAGAGGUGAAAUUCUUGGAUUUACGGAAGACGAACUACUGCGAAAGCAUUUACCAAGGAUGUUUUCAUUAA